rnacentral:rRNA from 1 species
UACGAAGGGGGCGAGCGUUGUUCGGAUUUACUGGGCGUAAAGGGCUCGUAGGCGGCCAACUAAGUCAGACGUGAAAUCCCUCGGCUUAACCGGGGAACUGCGUCUGAUACUGGAUGGCUUGAGUUUGGGAGAGGGACGCGGAAUUCCAGGUGUAGCGGUGAAAUGCGUAGAUAUCUGGAGGAACACCGGUGGCGAAGGCGGCGUCCUGGACCAACACUGACGCUCAUGCACGAAAGCGUGGGGAGCAAACAGG